rnacentral:rRNA from 1 species
AACGAACGCUAGCGGCAUGCCUAACACAUGCAAGUCGAACGAGACCUUCGGGUCUAGUGGCGCACGGGUGCGUAACGCGUGGGAACCUGCCCUUAGGUUCGGAAUAACUCCCCGAGAGGGGUGCUAAUACCGGAUAAUGUCUUCGGACCAAAGAUUUAUCGCCUUUGGAUGGGCCCGCGUUGGAUUAGCUAGUUGGUAGGGUAAAAGCCUACCAAGGCGACGAUCCAUAGCUGGUCUGAGAGGAUGAUCAGCCACACUGGGACUGAGACACGGCCCAGACUCCUACGGGAGGCAGCAGUGGGGAAUAUUGGACAAUGGGCGAAAGCCUGAUCCAGCAAUGCCGCGUGAGUGAUGAAGGCCUUAGGGUUGUAAAGCUCUUUUACCCGGGAUGAUAAUGACAGUACCGGGAGAAUAAGCUCCGGCUAACUCCGUG